AGACACCGCUCUCCCCAGAAUCCAGAGGGACACCUGGAGGGAUAAACAGGUCAGCCUUGGGUCCAG
rnacentral:sRNA from 1 species